rnacentral:rRNA from 1 species
UCCUCUUGUAAAAAAUUUAAGGUCUAACCUGCUCUAUGAAUAAUUUUAAAUGGCCGCGGUAUUUUGACCGUGCUAAGGUAGCAUAAUCAUUAGUUUUUUAAUUGAAAGCUGGAAUGAAGGGUUGAAUGAGAAAAUAACUGUCUCUAUUUAAAUUUGAUAGAAUUUUAUUUUUAAGUUAAAAAGCUUAAAUUAUUUUAAAAGACGAGAAGACCCUAUAGAGUUUAAUAAACUAUUAAUUUUAAAUAUUUAGAAUUUAAUAAUAAAUUUAUUAGUUUAUUUAAUUGGGGUGAUUGAAAAAUUUGGUUAACUUUUUUUAGUAUUGAAUAUAAAUAUAUAAAUAUAUGAUCCAAUAAUUUUGAUUAUAAGAAAAAAUUACCUUAGGGAUAACAGCGUAAUUUUACUAAAGAGAUCUAAUCGAAAGU